rnacentral:rRNA from 1 species
UGGGGAAUAUUGCACAAUGGGCGCAAGCCUGAUGCAGCCAUGCCGCGUGUGUGAAGAAGGCCUUCGGGUUGUAAAGUACUUUCAGCGGGGAGGAAGGGAGUAAAGUUAAUACCUUUGCUCAUUGACGUUACCCGCAGAAGAAGCACCGGCUAACUCCGUGCCAGCCGCCGCUGUAAUACGGAGGGUGCACGCGUUAAUCGGAAUUACUGGGCGUAAAGCGCACGCAGGCGGUUUGUUAAGUCAGAUGUGAAAUCCCCGGGCUCAACCUGGGAAGUGCAUCUGAUACUGGCAAGCUAGAGUAUUGUAGAGGGGGGUAGAAGUCCAGGUGUAGCGGUGAAAUGCGUAGAGAUCUGGAGGAAUACCGGUGGCGAAGGCGGCACCCUGGACAAAGACUGACGAUCAGGUGCGGAAGCGGGGGGAGCAAACAGG